AACGCAUAUUGCGCCCUUUGGCAUUCCGGAGGGCAUGCCUGUUUGAGAACCUUGACGUCCCUCACAACCCCCCCCUUUAUUUGAAAAAUCUAGGGUGUGUUUGUGGAUUUGAGUUGCUUCCUUUUUUCCAAAGCGAACAACUUUAAACACAAUUUUGGCGGAUUUCUUUGUGCCUCCACAUGAUGUCCAUAACCAAGACGUGCUAAUAUGGGAAACCAUUGAAUACGUCGAUAAACCUUGGGUCGGUGGGAUUUACGGGCCAAAGAGUGACCAGUCAACUCCAAAGACGCCAGGCACUGCUUUUUACCUGAAAAGUGGUGUAGACCUGAACCUCUGGUCUCAAAUCAGACAAGACUACCCGCUGAACUUAA
rnacentral:misc_RNA from 1 species